rnacentral:rRNA from 1 species
GAUGAACGCUGGCGGCGUGCCUAAUACAUGCAAGUAGAACGCUGAAGGAGGAGCUUGCUCUUCUGGAUGAGUUGCGAACGGGUGAGUAACGCGUAGGUAACCUGCCUGGUAGCGGGGGAUAACUAUUGGAAACGAUAGCUAAUACCGCAUGACAACAGUUAUUGCAUGAUAACUGUUUAAAAGGGGCAACUGCUCCACUACCAGAUGGACCUGCGUUGUAUUAGCUAGUUGGUGAGGUAACGGCUCACCAAGGCGACGAUACAUAGCCGACCUGAGAGGGUGGCGGGCCAAAGUGGGACGGGGAACGGGCCCAAACCCAUGGGGGGGACGCAAGUAGGGAUUUUGGGGGAAGGGAGGAGAGUCGAACCGAGAAACGCCGGGGGAGGGAAGAGGGUUUUGGGGUGUAAAAGCUGUGUUAAAAGGAAAGAACGAGUGGGGGAGGGAAAAUUACACACUGUAACGGUAUCUAACGAGAAAGGGACGGCAAACUACGUG